AGAUGGAAUCGAACGGAUUGGAGUUCUUACUCGAUCCGGUAGAUAGGUGAGCUAAUCCGUCCUGUUCUCGCCCCCAGAUUUCUCUUUUACCGUAGAUUGAUUUUGUGUUCCGUCGGUGGUGAUGCGUCUGUUCCCGGCAGGUUUACUCUGAGAUCUAAGGGAGGAGUUCGCCGACAGCUUGCAGCAGCCGGAUCCUGAGCUCCUGGCGCUGCUCCCACGGGGUGCAGCCGAAUCCUCGGCUGGAGGCUGGAGCUGAAUUUUGUGGCGCCACCGGGUGUGCGCUCAGUGCAGGACUUCAGACGGAAAGCGGAUAAGAAGUGCGGCGAAGGAAGAAUGCAUCGUUGACGCAGUCGGUUCAGUCCACGG
rnacentral:lncRNA from 1 species